rnacentral:rRNA from 1 species
GAUGAACGCUAGCUACAGGCUUAACACAUGCAAGUCGAGGGGCAGCAUGGUCUUAGCUUGCUAAGGCCGAUGGCGACCGGCGCACGGGUGAGUAACACGUAUCCAACCUGCCGUCUACUCUUGGACAGCCUUCUGAAAGGAAGAUUAAUACAAGAUGGCAUCAUGAGUCCGCAUGUUCACAUGAUUAAAGGUAUUCCGGUAGACGAUGGGGAUGCGUUCCAUUAGAUAGUAGGCGGGGUAACGGCCCACCUAGUCUUCGAUGGAUAGGGGUUCUGAGAGGAAGGUCCCCCACAUUGGAACUGAGACACGGUCCAAACUCCUACGGGAGGCAGCAGUGAGGAAUAUUGAUCAAUGGGCGCAGACCUGAACCAGCCAAGUAGCGUGAAGGAUGACUGCCCUAUGGGUUGUAAACUUCUUUUAUAAAGGAAUAAAGUCGGGUAUGUAUACCCGUUUGCAUGUACUUUAUGAAUAAGGAUCGGCUAACUCCGUG